UUCCCAUAAUGCAUGUUUGCCCGGGACAUUGACGGUGGAGGAAGGUCCAUGAGUUUUCACUGUUCGCCGGUAAUGAAAGUGCGUACUGUGAGUAUACUUAUUUCAAUAAGUGUCUGCCUUACACAGUAAAUAUUUUACGUUAUCGAGCUGUGUGUACGUGUGUGCUAGCGUGAAACGAACAAUGCUAAACAACAUAAUGUGAGUGUGUUAUCAUGAUGCUAACCAGGCCUGUGUUUGUAUUUCUUCCUAGGCUCAAGUGUGUGGUUGUGAGAUCAUCUCGAAAUCCUUUUAACAGUUCAGAUAUCGGACUACAAAGAGUGCUACAGAGAGCCAGCGUUUCACCAUCAGACAGGUGCUAAUAGGCUGAAGUUGGCCCAAUGGAGUGGAAGUGCAAGUUGUGUUCUGCAACUUCAAAUACCCGGGGACAAUUAUUUUGGCACUAUACUGUACUGCAUAGCCAAUAUUCAAGAGUGUCCCCCCUGCCAUGUCUCUAUGACAGUUGCAUUUGUACUUUUCCAUCAUUCGAAGCGAUGAAAGCUCAUCUGUCAAGAUGUCAUAAUGAUUCAUGUAGAGUAGAUGCAA